AGGGGAGGAGCCCAGAGAAGGUUAAAUCUCCCAUCUCACCCUUGGCAUCCCUUCCCUCUGUCCAGACUUCAUACCUUCUUCUUCUCUAGAACUCUCUUCCAUCCUUGUGGUCACUGACCAACUCAGGAGAUAUUACUGAGAGACAGGAGGCAACAAGGUCCAGAGACUGGGCUGGUGGUCAGCCCAGGGACCCUUCCAACCACACUUCCCCAACCCCUGAAACAUCUUCUUAGCAGCCAGCCCUUGGGAAAAGUGAUCCUAAACCCUCCACUGCUCUGCAACUGUGCGUAGGGCGGCUUUCCCUUAUUGGGGCAGGUAUGAUGCAGUGACUAAGUCGACCUACAGCUCUGAAUGAGGGCUCUGAGAAGGCUCAGACCACUCACUGCAUCCGUGGCCCUACAAGGAGAUGGUUCCAUGGAGCAAGCACAGAAGUAAGGUUACAGCGUGGGGAGGCUGGGGGAGGUGCUAAGGAGGCUGGCGUUCUGACCCAAGCAAGGAUUCUUAAGGACCCCCUAGCUCAGAAUAAUCACCUCUUCUCUUCCUCGAGUUCCUGGGCAAUAGAUUCCAAAAGGGAGGCCCCUCUUCUGAAUCCCAAAGUCAGGACAGCCCGAUUCACAGCAGGGCAGAGAUUGUGGGCAGCCACCUACUUGCACCAACAGCUGUCCACCUGUCUCCCCAAAUCCUGCCCCUCUACCCCCCAAACAUCUGGUCUCCCAGAACUUUGGAUAUUCUCCCUCGCUUUGUCCCCCCCGCCUCCACCCCGACACGCAGUGGAGGUGCCCCGCGUGGAAAAGGCGACGUUGGAAGAGAGGUAGCCCUCGUGGAGGGCCCCCUGGGCUGGGCACUCAUUCAUUCCCUGGGUGGAAGGCGGCGGAGCAGGGGCCAGCCGGGCGGGGCGAACGCCCGAAGGCGGACUCGCCAGGGGACAUUUGGGAAGAAAGAUUGAAGCCAGAAGUACAUGUGUGAACUUAAGGACACCAGAUGAAAAAUACUGGGCUUUCUCUGAAAGGCAAGAGUCCAAAAAGGAUGUGUUUUGCCACAAACAAGGAAGAUCAAAGUAACAUGCUGUUCUGUUAUUCAACUUAAAAAGAGAGCGCGAUAUUAACAGAAGAAAUCACGGACCAUAAGCAGAAAUGGUAUAAUGAUCUUAUACAGGAGGCCCAAGGUGCAGCCAGGAGCUUCUUGGGACUGCUUGCAUCUGGAGGUUGCUGGAACAUUGCCUCAACUGCCUGGAUGGCAGGUGGCAGUUCUUCUUGCAAAGUCAUGGGAGAAAGUCAUCAAAUCUACAAUAAAGUGUCUUACAGAGCAAUUGGCAAAUGGUUGAGGUCAUUCCAUGGGCCCCUGUAUGCCUGAAGACGCCACCUGUAUGGUCAGCUUCACUUCAGAAUCUUCAGGCUUCACUAGAAGAACAGAUGCAUACAUCCAACAUUUGAUUCUCAGCAAAAUUUUGUCACCAAAUGAUAAUACCCUUCAUGCAGUUUUGUAAGUACAGAGACUCAUUGGAGGUCAUCUGAGGACUCUGAAAAUCUUUGGAAAAAAUCUCCAAUGGGAGAGGGUAACAAUGAGGAUAAUAAUGAAGGCCAAGGAUCAACAGAUAUGUUUCUUCUGCUAGGCUUCCAAUGGGCAAGUGAGCUUUACCAAUGGAUCCUGAAGAAAUAACUUCAUCACAAGGCUUAAUUCUGAAUUUCUAAGCACACACUCGUUUUCCUAAAGGAUCGUUCCCUUUGGGAAUGCUGACUGAAAGUAGAAGUCUGGAAAAAUCUGCACUAAACCCAACAUUCAAGUACUUCCCCAUUAAGCAUAAAGGGGAAAUUGAGCAAGAGCACUGAAGGAGGCAGGCAAACUGGCUUCUUGGCCUACCACGAAUCACUCAUGCGUGAUGGUUAAGUCUGAGCAUCUAGUCAGGGUUUCCAUUUCCUCCCUCAUAGGGUGAAAAGGUUGGACUAAUUAUCUCUAAUCUAUUUUCCACCUUUAGUAUUCUUUGAAUCUAAAUGAUAAUGAUGAUCAAUGAAACUAAUUAUUUUUCUGAGGCUAUCAAUUAUACAUUUGGAUCUCUAAGAAGGAAAUAGAGAAAGGCACAUUACAGAUCUUGUUUUUUGACACUAUUUUCUUGAUUUCCUACAAUUGCUCUGGUACAGUAUGUUCAAUUAAUAAUUUUAUUUACUAUAAUUAGAAUUUCUAAUAUAUCAUAAAAUCCACAGGCAAACAUUACACUAAGAAUGUUCCUACAUGAAACAAAAACCACUAGUUUAUUAAGUAAAACAAAUUAUAUGGCACUGUGUAAAAUAAAACCAACAAGCCUACAGUUUGAUUUUCCCAUUUAUGUGGAAGCUUAUAGAAAUAAUACUGGAGUACUGUAAUACAAAUUAGAAUCAUAAUAUUUAAUAUUAAAAAACAAUAUUCUAACAUUCUCUCUUAAUAGAUUAGAUAAUCUAUAGAGAGGGUGCAUCUGAUUGGUUUUGACCAUGCAGAACUCUCUACACACAAAUCUAUGACAACAAAUUUGAAAAUGUUCAAGAAUGAAUGAUUUAUUAAGAAAAUGAAAAUUGCCAAAUGACCCACAACAAAAGAAAAGUUAAACAGAACAUUUGCUAUAAAACAGAAGGAAAAGGUGAGUGAAUAUCCCUCAAGUUCUGGUUAAUUAUAAAACAAGAUCAUUGCAAUGGUAUUUAAAUUAAGUUUUAUCAUGAAAAAGUUAGAAAUAACCCUAAUUUAUAUUAUAUAAUCAGGAUAACUUUAUACUAAAGAUAGCUCAAUAUAUAGAAAAUUGGAAUUAAUCCCAAUUAUGAUACGUACAAGAUUCUGAAAUUAAAAAAUUAGCAAAUAUCCAGCAAUAUAAGGGGCGCCCGGGUGGCUCAGUUGGUUAAGUGACUGCCUUCAGCUCAGGUCAUGAUCCUGGAGUCCCGGGAUCGAGUCCCACAGAGGGCUUCCUGCUCAGCAGGGAGUCUCCUUCUCCCUCUGACCCUCCUCCCUCUCAUGCUCUCUGUCUCUCAUUCUCUCUCUCUCAAAUAAAUAAAAUCUUAAAAAAAAAAUCCAGCAAUAUAUUAAAAUAGUAAUACCCUACAUUAAAAAAAAAAAAGAAAACAAAGGAAAGCAUAUAAAAACAAGAAGAAAACAUGAGUGAAUUACAUUAUAACCUAGGUGUGGGGAAAGUUACCUUCCUACCUUUGACUCAAGUCCAGGGGCAAUAUGAAAAGAUUGAUAAAUUCAACCCAAAGAAAGCAAAAUAUCACAAAUAAAACAAACCUCUGUAUAGCAAAACUGUAGAAGCAAAGGUAAAAGACCAAUGACAAACCAGGAGAAAAUAUUGGCAAUGUGUAUAAAGGCUAAUAUUCCCAAAUAUGUAUAAAACUUUCAAAAUUUGAGGGUAGAAAAAGAUAAACAAAUGACAGGAAAAUGGGCAAAGCACAUGAACAACAAUUCACACACAAAACACAAAACGGCCAUUAUACAUAUGACAGGAUGCUCAUCUUCACUCAUAAUAAGAGAAAUCUAAAUUUAAAGUAUACUAAAAUAUCAUUUUAACCUACCAAACUGGCAAAAUUAAAAGCCUGAUAUUAUAUUAAAUGGUGAGGCUAAGGGAAACAAGCACUUUGAUAUAUUGCUGGUGUGACUGCAAACAGAUGUAAGCUUUUUGGCCAAGCAAUCACACUUCUAGAAUUCAUCCUUUACAUAUCCUUGCAAUAUGAAAAUACAAAUGUGUAAGAUUAUGCUUUUCAGCAUUAUUUGUAUUUGCAAAAUGUUGGAAACUAUCUAAAGGCUCAGACAUAGGAGACAGGUUGGUAAAACCAUGGUCCAUGCAUACGAGGGAGUGCAAUGCAACUAUUUAAAAAAAUAAAGAAUCUUCUUUAAUUGAUAAGGAGUAUUCCCCAGGAUAUACUGUUAAGUGAUACAAGAAAAAUGCAAAAAAGAAUAAACAGAAGGCUAACUUCUGUGGGAAAAAAAGAAGAAAUAAGAAAGUAUACAUGUAUUUGCUUAGGUUAUCAAAAACAAAAAAUGAGUUAACCAGAGUGUAAAUGAUAAAGUAAAUGGGGCAAAAUGUCUUAAAAAUGAUAAAAUGUUAAAAAUUGGUUAAGUUUGGGUAAUGGUUAUAUAGGUAAAUUGAGUCAAAGAGCAUACAGGGUUUUUUUGGAGUAUUUUUACAAAUUUCUUGUAAGCUGGAAAUUAUUUCAAAAAGAAUGUUAAUAUUAACAUAAUAAUCAUAAUAUACUAUGACCAGUGAAAUCACUUCUAGGAAUGCAGGAAUGAUUUGAACUAAAAAAAAAAAGAAAUAAAUACUUUAAUACACAUGAAAAGGUCAUUUCAUUAAAUAAGAUUAUG